rnacentral:rRNA from 1 species
GACGAACGCUGGCGGCGUGCCUAAUACAUGCAAGUUGAGCGCUGAAGGUUGGUACUUGUACCGACUGGAUGAGCAGCGAACGGGUGAGUAACGCGUGGGGAAUCUGCCUUUGAGCGGGGGACAACAUUUGGAAACGAAUGCUAAUACCGCAUAAAAACUUUAAACACAAGUUUUAAGUUUGAAAGAUGCAAUUGCAUCACUCAAAGAUGAUCCCGCGUUGUAUUAGCUAGUUGGUGAGGUAAAGGCUCACCAAGGCGAUGGUACAUAGCCGACCUGAGAGGGUGAUCGGCCACAUUGGGAAUGAGACACGGCCCAAACUCCUACGGGAGGCAGCAGUAGGGAAUCUUCGGCAAUGGACGAAAGUCUGACCGAGCAACGCCGCGGGAGGGAAGAAGGGUUUCGGAUCGUAAAACUCUGUUGGUAGAGAAGAACGUUGGUGAGAGUGGAAAGCUCAUCAAGUGACGGUAACUACCCAGAAAGGGACGGCUAACUACGUG